rnacentral:rRNA from 1 species
UACGAAGGGGGCUAGCGUUGCUCGGAAUGACUGGGCGUAAAGGGCGCGUAGGCGGAUGGCACAGUCAGAUGUGAAAUUCCCGGGCUUAACCUGGGGGCUGCAUUUGAUACGUGUUGUCUUGAGUUCGGAAGAGGGUCGUGGAAUUCCCAGUGUAGAGGUGAAAUUCGUAGAUAUUGGGAAGAACACCGGUGGCGAAGGCGGCGACCUGGUCCGACACUGACGCUGAGACGCGAAAGCGUGGGGAGCAAACAGG